rnacentral:misc_RNA from 1 species
UCCGGUUUGUCACCGGCAGUCUGGCGUGAGUCCCCAACUUAAUGCUGGCAACACGCCACAGGGGUUGCGCUCGUUACGGGACUUAACCCAACAUCUCACGACACGAGCUGACGACAACCAUGCACCACCUGUAUAGGACGCCGAAGCACACCACAUCUCUGUGGCUUUUCCCUAUAUGUCAAGCCCUGGUAAGGUUCUUCGCGUUGCGUCGAAUUAAGCCACAUGCUCCGCCGCUUGUGCGGGCCCCCGUCAAUUCCUUUGAGUUUUAGCCUUGCGGCCGUACUCCCCAGGCGGGACACUUAUUGCGUUAGCUGCGGCACGGAGGGGGUCGAUACCCCCCACACCUAGUUCGCACCGUUUACGGCCAGGACUAC